UACGUAGGGGGCAAGCGUUGUCCGGAAUUAUUGGGCGUAAAGAGCGCGUAGGCGGUCCGAUAAGUCGGCUGUGAAAGUCAGGGGCUCAACCCUUGAAAGCCGGCCGAUACUGUCGGACUAGAGUCCGGAAGAGGCAAGUGGAAUUCCCGGUGUAGCGGUGAAAUGCGUAGAUAUCUGGAGGAACACCGGUGGCGAAGGCGGCAUCCUGGACCGGUAUUGACGCUGAGGCGCGAAAGCUAGGGGAGCAAACGGG
rnacentral:rRNA from 1 species